UUUUAUGGAUGAGCAAAGAAAGUGGUUUCUUGAGAUGGAAUCUACUCUUGGUGCAGUUGCUGUGAA
rnacentral:pre_miRNA from 1 species